UGGGGAAUAUUGCACAAUGGGCGAAAGCCUGAUGCAGCAACGCCGCGUGAGUGAUGAAGGCCUUCGGGUUGUAAAGCUCUGUCUUUUGGGACGAUAAUGACGGUACCAAAGGAGGAAGCCACGGCUAACUACGUGCCAGCAGCCGCGGUAAUACGUAGGUGGCAAGCGUUGUCCGGAUUUACUGGGCGUAAAGGAUGCGUAGGCGGAUUUUUAAGUGAGAUGUGAAAACCCUAAGCUUAACUUGGGGACUGCAUUUCAUACUGGAAAUCUAGAGUGCGGGAGAGGAGAAUGAAAUUCCUAGUGUAGCGGUGAAAUGCGUAGAGAUUAGGAAGAACACCAGUGGCGAAGGCGAUUCUCUGGACCGUAACUGACGCUGAGGCAUGAAAGCGUGGGUAGCAAACAGGAUUAGAUACCCUGGUAGUCCACGCCGUAAACGAUGAGUACUAGGUGUAGGAGGUAUCGACCCCUUCUGUGCCGCAGUUAACACAAUAAGUACUCCGCCUGGGAAGUACGAUCGCAAGAUUAAAACUCAAAUGAAUUGACGGGGUCAUAGCUG
rnacentral:rRNA from 1 species